rnacentral:rRNA from 1 species
CCCUGGUAGUCCACGCCGUAAACGAUGAGUGCUAGGUGUUAGGCCCUUUCCGGGGCUUAGUGCCGCAGCUAACGCAUUAAGCACUCCGCCUGGGGAGUACGACCGCAAGGUUGAAACUCAAAGGAAUUGACGGGGGCCCGCACAAGCGGUGGAGCAUGUGGUUUAAUUCGAAGCAACGCGAAGAACCUGACCAGGUCUUGACAUCCCUCUGACCGUCCUAGAGAUAGGACUUUCCUUCGGGACAGAGGUGACAGGUGGUGCAUGGUUGUCGUCAGCUCGUGUCGGGAGAUGUUGGGUUAAGUCCGGCAACGAGCGCAACCCCUAUUGUUAGUUGCCAUCAUUAAGUUGGGCACUCUAGCGAGACUGCCGGUAAUAAACCGGAGGAAGGUGGGGAUGACGUCAAAUCAUCAUGCCCCUUAUGACCUGGGCUACACACGUGCUACAAUGGUUGGUACAACGAGUCGCAAGCCGGUGACGGCAAGCUAAUCUCUUAAAGCCAAUCUCAGUUCGGAUUGUAGGCUGCAACUCGCCUACAUGAAGUCGGAAUCGCUAGUAAUCGCGGAUCAGCACGCCGCGGUGAAUACGUUCCCGGGCCUUGUACACACCGCCCGUCACACCACGAGAGUUUGUAACACCCGAAGUCGGUGAGGUAACCUAAUAGGAGCCAGCCGCCUAAGGUGGGAUAGAUGAUUGGGGUGAAGUCGUAACAAGGUAGCCGUAUCGGAAGGUGCGGCUGGAUCACCGCCUUUCUAAGGAA